rnacentral:tRNA from 1 species
GCCCAGGUGGCGGAAUAGGUAGACGCGCUGGUCUCAAAAACCAGUGGUAGUAAUACCGUGCCGGUUCGAUUCCGGCCCUGGGUA